CCUGUUGCAGCUGCUGUUGCAGCUGCUGCUGCUGCAGCUUCUGCAGCAGCAGCAGCAGCAGGGUGAAUACGCCUGUCUAGACGCCUGUACCCUUUAAAUGGGUUGGUACGGGGUGUCUGUACAGCUCCACU
rnacentral:snoRNA from 1 species